GCAAGUCGAGCGGAUGAAGGGAGCUUGCUCCCGGAUUCAGCGGCGGACGGGUGAGUAAUGCCUAGGAAUCUGCCUGGUAGUGGGGGACAACGUUCCGAAAGGAGCGCUAAUACCGCAUACGUCCUACGGGAGAAAGUGGGGGAUCUUCGGACCUCACGCUAUCAGAUGAGCCUAGGUCGGAUUAGCUAGUAGGUGGGGUAAUGGCUCACCUAGGCGACGAUCCGUAACUGGUCUGAGAGGAUGAUCAGUCACACUGGAACUGAGACACGGUCCAGACUCCUACGGGAGGCAGCAGUGGGGAAUAUUGGACAAUGGGCGAAAGCCUGACUUAGCCAUGCCGCGUGUGUGAAGAAGGUCUUCGGAUUGUAAAGCACUUUAAGUUGGGAGGAAGGGCAGUAAGUUAAUACCUUGCUGUUUUGACGUUACCAACAGAAUAAGCACCGGCUAACUUCGUGCCAGCAGCCGCGGUAAUACGAAGGGUGCAAGCGUUAAUCGGAAUUACUGGGCGUAAAGCGCGCGUAGGUGGUUUGGUAAGAUGGAUGUGAAAUCCCCGGGCUCAACCUGGGAACUGCAUCCAUAACUGCCUGACUAGAGUACGGUAGAGGGUGGUGGAAUUUCCUGUGUAGCGGUGAAAUGCGUAGAUAUAGGAAGGAACACCAGUGGCGAAGGCGACCACCUGGACUGAUACUGACACUGAGGUGCGAAAGCGUGGGGAGCAAACAGGAUUAGAUACCCUGGUAGUCCACGCCGUAAACGAUGUCGACUAGCCGUUGGGAUCCUUGAGAUCUUAGUGGCGCAGCUAACGCGAUAAGUCGACCGCCUGGGGAGUACGGCCGCAAGGUUAAAACUCAAAUGAAUUGACGGGGGCCCGCACAAGCGGUGGAGCAUGUGGUUUAAUUCGAAGCAACGCGAAUAACCUUACCUGGCCUUGACAUGUCCGGAAUCUUGCAGAGAUGCGAGAGUGCCUUCGGGAAUCGGAACACAGGUGCUGCAUGGCUGUCGUCAGCUCCUGUCGUGAUAUGUUGGGUUAAGUCCCGUAACGAGCGCGGCCCUUGUCCUUACUUAGCAGCACGUUAUGGUGGGCACUCUAAUGAGACUGCCGGUGACAUACCCGACGAACGUGAGGAUGACUUCAAGUCGUCAUGGCCCUUACUGCCACGGCUACACACGUGCUAUAAUGGUCGCUACAUAGGGUUGCCC
rnacentral:rRNA from 1 species